rnacentral:rRNA from 1 species
AUUGAACGCUGGCGGCAGGCCUAACACAUGCAAUUCGAACGGUAACAGGAAGAAGCUUGCUUCUUUGCUGACGAGUGGCGGACGGGUGAGUAAUUUCUGGGAAACUGCCUGAUGGAGGGGGAUAACUACUGGAAACGGUAGCUAAUACCGCCUAACGUCGCAAGACCAAAGAGGGGGACCUUCGGGCCUCUUGCCAUCGGAUGUGCCCAGAUGGGAUUAGCUAGUAGGUGGGGUAACGGCUCACCUAGGCGACGAUCCCUAGCUGGUCUGAGAGGAUGACCAGCCACACUGGAACUGAGACACGGUCCAGACUCCUACGGGAGGCAGCAGUGGGGAAUAUUGCACAAUGGGCGCAAGCCUGAUGCAGCCAUGCCGCGUGUAUGAAGAAGGCCUUCGGGUUGUAAAGUACUUUCAGCGGGGAGGAAGGGAGUAAAGUUAAUACCUUUGCUCAUUGACGUUACCCGCAGAAGAAGCACCGGCUAACUCCGUG